rfam:Musa acuminata subsp. malaccensis Doubled-haploid Pahang (DH-Pahang) genomic chromosome, chr5
GAAAAAGCAGGGGCCUGUUUUGUUAUAAGUGGACUUCUCGUGAACUUUAGAAAUAACAUGCUCGUUGUUAAUGGGUGUAACAUUGAAGAUUUAUUUCAUGAUGUAAUGUUCGGUGAACAAUGGAAUAUUG